UCGGUCCGGCUUGGCCUGGGGCGCCCGGGCAUCUCCGGCAGGGCUGGAAGGCAACGCUCCGCGCGAGAACCUCUGGGCCUCUGGCCACCCGGCUCGCGCUCCUUUAUGGCCUGGGCGGCUCUCUCGCCCGUCGGGUGGGGGGCCAACGCCAAGCCCGAAAGCAUUUGCCCGGGCUCGUUGCUAGCCCGGCUUGGUUGAUACCUUCGUGGCAUUCGCCACGGGAAGAAAGGCGACCUUUUGUUGCAAGCGAGGUCUUCUUUUCCCGUCGGUCAGCCGCCUUGCCGUCGGUCUCCGGACAAGAACGCCGUCACUCCCCCCUCCCCCCCGGCUAGACUAGGAUUUUGCGUGGUUUUGCAAGAGGCGCACCUGGCUUUUCUAGGAGGUUUGCAAAAAGUUCUUGCUUUCGUCACCGAAGCAGGGUCCGAGCACCGUUUCGAAAGUCAUCCGUCCAAUACAUUUCGAAGCAGUUGGGUUCAGAAUUGGUGGCUUGCCCGUAGCCACAGGUGCGCGUUUAGGCAUCCCUCCUUGAGAAGUUAUUUUGGCCGAUCUACUUGUACCUUCGUCUUGGCUGGUGCCGAUCGAGGGAAGGGACCGUUCCAUUGCCUUGCAUGAACAAAGGGAAAGCGCUGUAGCCAGUAAGUGUGCUGACCCUGAGAUCUGCUUCAGCGUCCCUCACUACCCAAGGGAUAUGCCCUCUCAAAUAAUGUUAAUAGUUGUUGUUCCCACUAUUGCUUUCAUGCUUACAACUUUUUGCCUCUUUAUUUCCAUUACUGCGAUUGUGUGUCAAAAGUUUAUUUGAUGUCAAAAUAUUAAGCAAGAGUAUCCUGGAAAGCAAUUCUAGGAGUGAAUUCUACUGAACUCAGUGGAGUUUACUUCAAAAGAAAUUCUUCAUUCUCCUUGGCAUCAAUUUUCAUAUAUGCUGCUCCUUCCCAACCAAAUGAUUGAUGGGAAUCUGACUUCUAAAUUACAUUUUUCCUUCAUAAAGCAUUGUAAAAGUCAUAAUUUUGCUUGGCCACAAACAGAAAUAGAUAAUAUUCUGAAAAGUUGCAGCUGUUUCUCAAUGUCUUAUAGAACCUUUACAGAUAUCCCACAAAAAACACAAGAACAAAAAUUGGAAGGUGUACCAAAAUGCAAUUAUUUUUAAAAAAUCAGAAGA